rnacentral:rRNA from 1 species
GGGGAUAUUGCACAAUGGGGGAAACCCUGAUGCAGCGACGCCGCGUGGGCGAAGAAGUAUUUCGGUAUGUAAAGCCCUAUCAGCAGGGAAGAAGAAAUGACGGUACCUGAGUAAGAAGCACCGGCUAAAUACGUGCCAGCAGCCGCGGUAAUACGUAUGGUGCAAGCGUUAUCCGGAUUUACUGGGUGUAAAGGGAGCGCAGGCGGUACGGCAAGCCUGAUGUGAAAGCCCGCGGCCCAACCGCGGGACUGCAUUGGGAACUACCGGGCUGGAGUGCCGGAGAGGUAGGCGGAAUUCCUAGUGUAGCGGUGAAAUGCGUAGAUAUUAGGAGGAACACCAGUGGCGAAGGCGGCCUACUGGACGGUGACUGACGCUGAGGCUCGAAAGCGUGGGGAGCAAACAGG